UAUAUAUAUAUAUAUAUAUAUAUCUCCUCUUCCACAACAUGUCACCAUGCUGCACAGUGGAGAGCUGACAGCCUUAGGCCUGGGGAGCAAGUCCAGUCAAGGUGCCCAUGGAUCAGAUUUUCCUGGCGUAAUGGAUACUUUGAAAACCACAAGAGCACAGCUAAUAGUACUGAAGGUGGCAGUUCAUACUGUGUGGGACAGAAGGUGAUGCACACGAUACACCCAUCUGAAGAGUUGAGCUCAUCUGCUUGUCAAGUGUCGUACUCAAGGCCUAAACAGAUGCUACUUUGACAAAGUUUCCUUGGGACUUCAUAAGGUGCGAUCAGUGACGCUGUUACGAGAAAAAUUGCGGCGUUGAAAUAUCACUUGAAGGGAAACAUCAGGAACCUCCUCAGAAUACCACAAAUAAACUUUUAUGUCAUUAAUGUCAUUUACCACAGUUAACACCACUUUCUAUUCCCUG